rnacentral:rRNA from 1 species
AUUGAACGCUGGCGGCAGGCCUAACACAUGCAAGUCGAGCGGAUGAAGGGAGCUUGCUCCUGUAUUCAGCGGCGGACGGGUGAGUAAUGCCUAGGAAUCUGCCUGGUAGUGGGGGAUAACGUCCGGAAACGGGCGCUAAUACCGCAUACGUCCUGAGGGAGAAAGUGGGGGAUCUUCGGACCGCACGCUAUCAGAUGAGCCUAGGUCGGAUUAGCUAGUUGGUGGGGUAAAGGCCCACCAAGGCGACGAUCCGUAACUGGUCUGAGAGGAUGAUAAGUCACCCUGGAACUGAGACACGGUCCAGACUCCUACGGGAGGCAGCAGUGGGGAAUAUUGGACAAUGGGCGAAAGCCUGAUCCAGCCAUGCCGCGUGUGUGAAGAAGGUCUUCGGAUUGUAAAGCACUUUAAGUUGGGAGGAAGGGCAGUAAGUUAAUCCCUUGCUGUUUUGACGGUACCAACAGAAUAAGCACCGGCUAACUUCGUG